CAAAUCCCAUAAAACUAAGACCAGAAAAGAAAUGAAUGUGUUUUUGACAUCCCAAAUUACUAGGAUUGUAAGAAAACCCAGCAAAGUGAAGUUUGACCCUAUUACAUGAGAGGCAUCUACUCUUUCCUCAAACCCUGAAAGAUGGAAAGGACUGCCAGAUAUUGUCUAUCAUGGACUGUGGAGGUAUACCACCAGCUUUUAAGAGCCAAGUGUUGCUAUGUUUCCUCUGUUUGGAUAAAGUCAUUGUAUAACUUCAUACAUAUUUUGGUCAGAAUGUUUAAUCUGAGUUUGACACAACUACAACUACAAGUUGUAGAAACCUAUGGCAAAAAUAAGAGGAAAUAUAUAGGUAUCAAAAAUAACAACGAUUAAUAACAAUUUAACAAAAAACUAGGUUAACCUUUGAAUAAACAGCGAUUAUUCUGUGCAGUUAAUUUCUGAUUGUAAUGUUA